rnacentral:rRNA from 1 species
GAACGAACGCUGGCGGCGCGCCUAAUACAUGCAAGUCGAGCGAGAAGACGUAGCAAUACGUUUGUAAAGCGGCGAACGGGUGAGGAAUACAUGGGUAACCUACCCUCGAGUGGGGAAUAACUAGCCGAAAGGUUAGCUAAUACCGCGUACGCUCCUUGGACUUCGGUUCAGGGAGGAAAGCGAUACCGUGGGUAUCGCGCUCUUGGAUGGGCUCAUGUCCUAUCAGCUUGUUGGUGAGGUAACGGCUCACCAAGGCUUCGACGGGUAGCUGGUCUGAGAGGACGAUCAGCCACACUGGCACUGCGACACGGGCCAGACUCCUACGGGAGGCAGCAGUAAGGAAUAUUGCGCAAUGGGCGAAAGCCUGACGCAGCGACGCCGCGUGGGGGAUGAAGGUCUUCGGAUUGUAAACCCC